rnacentral:misc_RNA from 1 species
GCAAGAACGCGCCUUGGCCGA